AUUUAAAUAGUUUAAUUAAAAAAUUUUGAUUUGUGGAAUCAAGGAUAUAAUUGUGUUAUUUUAAAUA
rnacentral:tRNA from 1 species